GGCUGGUUCCGAAAAAACACGGCCUGCACCGAUGGUGUUUGGUGGAUCAUCAAACAGGGUGACCAGCAGUGUUCACUGAGGAAGGAGAAUGCACUCGCCACCACUCCGAUUCAUCCAAGUGGGCGUUAGCUGCGCCGCGCCUAUUGUGUUUUAGUAUUCCAUGGAUGCACACUAGCGUUCUCAGCGAUUGUGGAGCCACAACAUAUCUUCAUGCGGCGUUGCACUGUCCAAGAGCAGAAACGUCAGCAGUGACCCAUCAUCAUACAUGUAGAUUUGGAGUAUACACACCAUGCGCCAAUGGGCCUCGGCACAACAGCGGCAGCUCUACGGAGUGUUCAAGUGAGAAACAUUUGUUUCGACUUUUGGUGGACGAACAAAUCGUCGGUGCCGAAAAACGUGGCCUGCGCCGAUGGUGCUUGAAACAUCAAGCAUGGUAUGUGGUGACUGUCAGUGUUGAUCGAGGAAGGAGAACACUCAGGCCGUCGACCGUUCAUCCAUUUCGUUAGCUGCACCAAGCCUAUUGUGUCCUUGUAUUCCAUGGGCACACAAUCAUGAAGCAUGGCGUCUGAGCUGUGUUCACAGAGCGGGGAGAUGCUCUUGCUGCUAUCUUAUCUGUCCUGUGUAUUCCCAAGUGCCGAAGGCUCACAACGAUGGUGUUGGACAAGUCAGAUAAAAUAGAGUCAACAUCGUCACACGGUGCUGUGACCAAGAUACGGAUCAUGCCGAACGCUGAUUCAACUGGACGAAUCGCGAGGCUUUUCAGAUGCAGGGACACAAUGGAAACUGAAUGACUUCAGAACAGCACUGCUUGGCACGUCUAUACAGCAUCAUUUGGCACAGCAAGAUGACAAAACAGCUAGCAGUGGCUAUUGGUGAGAAAAUUUUCUGCUGUGCCAUUGGAGUGUGCACGAUACACGAACCCUGCUCUUUUGUUGGCACCGCCUAUGUAACUUACUGCAUAGGGUGCAAGGUGACCGUUGUCGGUUUACAUGUACUCCAGUUAUUACACCGUGCAUGCACUGAGUCUGUGCUGCACUGUGCAUCCAUAGGUGUUCGUUUGCGGUAGCGCAAGGUGACACGCAAGGUUGAUGGAUUGUUUUGUCCGCUGCUAUUCGAAGCUCUCGGAGUCGGAAGCGUUACCUCUGUUUCCCCUGUUCCUCCCUGCGCGGAGUCUGUAGUUCUGGCUUGCAGUUGCUGUUACAUGCAUGUUGGCAGUUGCAUGUGUUUUGGUUUUCAGUUGUCUUUAUCAAGUUGUUUUGUGUGGACGACAGUUCAAUAUUCUAGCAGUUGUUGCACUUCCUACUUCUGAAGUACAUUCCGUAGUUAUCUGCGGUUGGUGUUCGAGAGAGUAAACUGUGUUCUUCUCCAGAGUGGAGUAAACCA